UGGGGAAUAUUGCGCAAUGGGCGAAAGCCUGACGCAGCAACGCCGCGUGAGUGAUGAAGGCCUUCGGGUUGUAAAGCUCUUUCGGCGGGGACGAAACGGUCCGUGACAACACCACGGACUAAUGACAGUACUCGCAGAAGAAGCACCGGCUAACUACGUGCCAGCAGCCGCGGUAAUACGUAGGGUGCAGGCGUUAAUCGGAAUUACUGGGCGUAAAGCGUGCGCAGGCGGCUCCUUAAGUCAGAUGUGAAAUCCCCGGGCUUAACCUGGGAACUGCGUUUGAAACUGAGGGGCUAGAGUGUGGAAGAGGGGGGUGGAAUUCCAGGUGUAGCAGUGAAAUGCGUAGAUAUUUGGAGGAACACCGAUGGCGAAGGCAGCCCCCUGGGCUAACACUGACGCUCAUGCACGAAAGCGUGGGGAGCAAACAGGAUUAGAUACCCCAGUAGUCCCUGAGCGGGCUGGCAAGGCGCAU
rnacentral:rRNA from 1 species